AUUUUGGCAGUGCAAUUGUACUGUAGUCUGUAUAGUGUAGUGGGUGGAGAAACAGGCAUUUCUUUGUUUACAAUGUUUGCAGAAUUGUACACGAAAAAGAUGUGUGCCUAAAAUAUGCGAAGGUUUUCCUUUCUUUGUACACGAAAAAGAAAAACAGAAGGCGUGUACAAAUUAUCAAGAUGUUUUCCUUUUUCACCAGUGACCAAAUGACCAUUAGAAGUGGCCAUAUUGCCUUGAACUUGUCUGCACCAAGAAUCUUCAAUGAAUUUACCAGCAAAUUGUUUAAGGAAAAACAAGAUUACUGGAGUAAUUUAUUUGAUUGACAAGCUCUGACAUAUGUUGCUGCCUAUACUCUGGAGGCUCCAGCUAAGCAGUACUGUUCGUACCUCCAAACUCAAUUUUAUUUUCUGACUCAUAAUCUCUGGUUGAGACUACUUAAAAAUUCCCACAAGUCUUGUAACUUCCUUUCCACAAGCUAACACAGGUAAUGCUUUGUGCUCUGAAGCUGUUGUAUAUUUAUACUUGUCUGUGUUUUCGGAUUACAAUAGAACACAUUCAUACUUUAAUCAAGUCGUGCAAAACUGUAAAUUAUCUUAGGCCGACUUAAAAUGGACAUGUUAUUAAUACAUAAUUAUAUUAUGAGGAGAGAUGUUACGUCCACUGCCAUCGAACAAACUGCCAUGAGAGCAGAUAUAGAGAAUGUUGUGAAGUACUGACAGAAGUAGCUUACGCUUUCAAUGCAUACUUCGAAAUA